GCCGUCGUCGACCAGUGGCAGGUCGUUCUCGUUGCUUACGUUCCCAGCGAAAUCAUCGGAGAAAGACGGGGGUUCGACUCCCCUCGACGGAA